GGCUGGUCCAAUGGUAGUGGGCUAUCAAAAUUUAUUGACUCACAUCAGUGUCACUAAAGUUAGUAUACAACCCCCUGCUGCUAAAUUUGACUGGCUUAAA
rnacentral:Y_RNA from 1 species